rnacentral:lncRNA from 1 species
UAAACACUUACUUGAUGUUGGGGUAGAAGUUAACGUUGAUUUGAUCAAGGUUGAUGAAAAUUUCACUUUUGAGGGCUCAAAAUCGCACAUGGAUGUUUUAGAAAUGAAAUGGCAUAAUGAUUGUUGUUCUGAUGUAUAGCAUAACACAACGUGAUUAGGGACUUUGAGGUGGGAAUGAGCAAAAUAAUCAAUUUUUUUAGAAUAAUUAGUGUGUUUAAUGAAAUAUUAAGUGUGACUUGAUUGUGAG